rnacentral:rRNA from 1 species
CUCUCAAUUGUUUUAUGCUUGCAUAAAUGAUUUUUGGAUUCGGAGCGAGUGGCGAACUGGUGAGUAACACGUGGGUAACCUGCCCCGAAGCGGGGGAUAACAUUUGGAAACAAGUGCUAAUACCGCAUAAUUAGUUGGAACCGCAUGGUUCCAACUUGAAAGAUGGCUCUGCUAUCACUUUGGGAUGGACCCGCGCCGUAUUAGUUAGUUGGUGAGAUAAAAGCCCACCAAGACGAUGAUACGUAGCCGACCUGAGAGGGUAAUCGGCCACAUUGGGACUGAGACACGGCCCAGACUCCUACGGGAGGCAGCAGUAGGGAAUCUUCCACAAUGGACGAAAGUCUGAUGGAGCAACGCCGCGUGAGUGAUGAAGGUUUUCGGAUCGUAAAACUCUGUUGUUAAAGAAGAACAAGUGUUAGAGUAACUGUUAACACUUUGACGGUAUUUAACCAGAAAGCCACGGCUAACUACGUGCCAGCAGCCGCGGUAAUACGUAGGUGGCAAGCGUUGUCCGGAUUUAUUGGGCGUAAAGCGAGCGCAGGCGGUUUUGUAAGUCUGCUGUGAAAGCCCUCAGCUCAACUGAGGAAGUGCAGUGGAAACUACAAAACUUGAGUACAGAAGAGGAAAGUGGAACUCCAUGUGUAGCGGUGAAAUGCGUAGAUAUAUGGAAGAACACCAGUGGCGAAGGCGGCUUUCUGGUCUGUUACUGACGCUGAGGCUCGAAAGCAUGGGGUAGCGAACAGGAUUAGAUACCCUGGUAGUCCAUGCCGUAAACGAUGAAUACUAGGUGUUGGGAGGGUUUUCGCCCUUCAGUGCCGCAGCUAACGCAUUAAGUAUUCCGCUGGGGAGUACGACCGCAAGGUUUGAAACUCAAAGGAAUUGACGGGGGCCGCACAAGUGGUGGAGCAUUGUGGUUUAAUUCGAUGCUACGCGAAGACCCUUACCAGCUCUUGACAUCUUCUGCCACCAGAGAUUGGGCGUUCCUUCGGGACAGAAUGACAGUGGGUGCAUGGUUGUCGUCAGCUCGGGUC